CCUCCUUUCUAAGGAGCACCAUUUUUUCCCCCGCGCCUCACAUGGGUGAGGGUUCUCGUGGUUGGGAUACAUUUGCCGGCGCCUGUAGUGGGUUGUCCGGUGGUGCAGAUAAUUUACGAACAGCAACAAGCGCGAUCACCAACCGCCGGGAGCGUUAUCGUUUCUGGUGGCCGGCCUUUGUGGGUUGGGCACACUGUUGGGUCCUGAGGCAACAGGCCUGUUGUUGCCCCC
rnacentral:misc_RNA from 1 species